GAGUUUGAUCCUGGCCCAGGAUGAACGCUGGCGGCGUGCCUAAUACAUGCAAGUCGAACGAGGCCCUUUGUAUUCGUACGAAGGUGUCCUAGUGGCGAACGGGUGAGUAACACGUAGGUGACCUACCCCGAAGUGGGGGACAACUCUGGGAAACUAGAGCUAAUACCCCAUGUUCUCCAUGGUGCUAGAGGACCAUGGAGCAAAGGAGCAAUCCGCUUUGGGAGGGGCCUGCGGCCCAUCAGCUAGUUGGUAGGGUAAUGGCCUACCAAGGCUAUGACGGGUAGGGGACCUGAGAGGGUGGUCCCCCACACUGACACUGAAACACGGGUCAGACACCUACGGGUGGCAGCAGUAGGGAAUAUUGCACAAUGGGCGAAAGCCUGAUGCAGCAACGCCGCGUGCGCGAUGAAGGCCUUCGGGUUGUAAAGCGCUUUUCUGGGGGAAGAGGAAGGACGGUACCCCAGGAAUAAGUCUCGGCUAACUACGUGCCAGCAGCCGCGGUAAAACGUAGGAGGCGAGCGUUAUCCGGAUUUACUGGGCGUAAAGCGCGUGUAGGCGGUUAGGUAAGUCAGACGUGAAAGCUCCUGGCUCAACUAGGAGAGGCCGUUUGAAACUACCUGACUUGAGGGCAGUAGAGGGAGGUGGAAUUCCAGGUGUAGCGGUGAAAUGCGUAGAUAUCUGGAGGAACACCAGUGGCGAAAGCGGCCUCCUGGGCUGGCCCUGACGCUCAGACGCGAAAGCUAGGGUAGCAAACGGGAUUAGACACCCCGGUAGUCCUAGCCGUAAACGAUGCAGACUUGGUGUUGGCAGUUUAAACACUGUCAGUGCCGAAGCUAACGCGAUAAGUCUGCCGCCUGGGGACUACGACCGCAAGGUUAAAACUCAAAGGAAUUGACGGGGCCCGCACAAGCAGCGGAGCGUGUGUUUAAUUCGAGGCUACGCGAAGAACCUUACCUGGGUUUGACAUGUACGUAGUAGAAUCCGAAAGUGACCGACCCCUCGGGGAGCGUACACAGUGCUGCAUGCUGUCGUCAGCUCGUGCGGGAGGUGUCGUUAAGUCCGUACGAGCGCACCCUUGCCUCUGUUGUUACAAGUGUCACAGAAGACUGCGUAUAAGCGGAGGAAGGUGGGGAUGACGUCAGUCAGCAUGCUUAUAUCAGGCUACACCACGCCUCAAUGCGUCAAUUGGUUCCGAACCGCGAAGGCGGAACCAACUCCUCUCAAGAGCGGGCCUC
rnacentral:rRNA from 1 species